CCUACGGGUGGCAGCCGUGGGGAAUAUUGCACAAUGGUGGAAACACUGAUGCAGCGAAGCCGCGUGAGUGAAGAAGUAUCUGGGUACGUUAAGCUCUAUCAGCAGGGAAGCUAAUGCCGGUACCUGUCCACGAAGCCCCGGAUAACUACGUGCCAGCAGCCGCGGCAAUACGUAGGGGGCAAGCGUUAUCCGGAUUUACUGGGUGUAAAGGGGGCGUAGACGGCUGCACAAGUCUGGAGUGAAAUCCCGGGGCUUAACCCCGGGACUGCUUUGGAAACUGUGCGUCUGGAGUGCAGGAGGGGUAAGCGGAAUGCGUAGUGUAGCGGUGAAAUGCAUAGAUAUUAGGCGGAACACCGAUGGCGAAGGCGGCUUACUGGAUUGUAACUGACGUUGAGGCUCGAAAGCGUGGGUAGCGAACAGGAUUAGAUACCCUUGUAGUC
rnacentral:rRNA from 1 species